CUUGCUUUCAACCCCCGA
rnacentral:snRNA from 1 species